GCAGUGACACAAACUGUUCAACCUAUGAAACACUGGAUUGUUAAGGUUUUGAGGACAAGUGCAUCACUGGAACUGGAGCUGCAUUAAAUGGCAUCAAUGUCACUUUAAAAGGAUGUGCGAGCAAAAACUUCUGUGACGAUGUAUACAAACAGGGAUUCAUGUUUAAUGCUUUAUGUUGUGAUGGAAACCUGUGUAACAGUGCCCAGAGUCUGACACAGGGAGCUGUGCUGCUGCUGAGUUGGAAAUGCAGUUAUUGAUCCAUCCUGAGAUCUGUACUUCACCGGUUUAACAUCACUUAACAGGGCUUCCUGUUCUCAGGAUGUCUUCACUGACAGACGCCAGCUGGAGGUAACCACAACACUCUACAGCCAUU
rnacentral:lncRNA from 1 species